CGCUGUGUUGGCAAUUUUGUGUUCCGCGGUCCCUUUUCUCGCCGCUGGCUUGGAGGAGUCCUUCGCUUCUGUAAGUCGCGACUCGGAUCGCGCAACCGUGACGCCAUGAGCUACGGCCGUGCCCCGCCGACCAUCGACGGGAUGACCUCCCUGAAGGUCGACAACCUGACGUAUCGCACCACGCCGGAGGAUUUGAAACGCGUCUUCGAGAGGUACGGCGAUGUCGGGGACGUCUACAUCCCGCGUCACCCGUACACCAGGGAGAGCCGCGGUUUCGCCUUCGUUCGCUUCUACGACAAGCGCGACUGCGAAGACGCCAUGGACGCGCUGGACGGCUACAUGAUGGACGGCCGCGAACUGCGCGUGCAAAUGGCGCGCUACGGUAGGCCUACCGACCCGUACCGCCAGUCCGCGUCUUCUCGCCGCGGCCCGUCAAGUCGCCGGUCACGCUCGCGCAGCCGCAGUCGCCGCAGGUCGAGGAGCCGCAGGCGAUCAAGGUCUAGGUCACGUCGACGAUCGCGGAGCCGUUCUAGGUCGCGGCGACGCCGGUCAAGAUCCCGAUCUAGAAGGUCCCGAAGCAGAUCAAGGGAUCGCCGGCGUUCUCGAAGCAAAGCCAGGAAAAGCCGCAGCAGAAGCCGGCGAAAGAGCCGCAGUCGUAGCAGGCGCAAGAGCCGCAGCAAGUCGAGGGAGCGGAGCCGCUCUCGACGCCGCGAGACCAAAAGGAGCAGAUCAAAAUCCAGAGGCCACAGCCGCUCGAAGUCGAGGGAGCGCAGUCCCUCGAAGCAUCGCAGCCGCUCGAAGUCGAGGGAGCGCAGUCCCUCAAAGCAUCGCAGCCGCUCCAAGUCCAAGGACCGCAGCCAGAGCAGGCACCGUAGCCGCUCAAAGUCUGAGGAGCGAAGCCGAAGCAAGCACCGUAGUCGCUCCAAGUCCAAAGAACGCAGCCGAAGCAAGAAGCGCAGCGAGUCCAAGGAGCGGAGCCCCAGCAAGCACCGGAGCCGUUCUAGGUCCAAGGAGAGGAGCAGAAGCAAGUCUCACAGAAGCCGCAGCCGAAGUCGCAAAGAGAGCGAGCCACGGGAUAGAAGCCACAGUCCAGCGGUGAACGGAGACUCCCGCAUGCGCAGUGCAUCCCGCAGCCCACGAGAGGAGGGCCGAGAAGACUCGCGGUCCCGUUCACGGUCGCGCAGUCCGAGGCGGAGCGGCAGCCCAGCGCAGGGAGAGUCUGACGAGGCAGGCAGGGAAAAGUCCAGAAGCAGGGACCGGUCGCGGUCCAAGUCGCAGGACUCCAACUGAGGCACGUGAGAGUCCUUGCUGUAGGGUAUUCACCCCAGGCUGGGUUGUAUUAUUGGAACGUUGUUUGUCAUUUGAUGUGUGUGUUCUGUUAAGAGUUACGCCUGCUCAAUCCAGCCGCUUCAUGCUUCGUCUUCACAAGAAUGUCUGCUGUCAAGUUUUAGUUUUCUGUUAAUCCCCAAGCUUCCCUUUUUCGCACGUAUUGUGAAGUGGCCUUUAUAUUUUCAUAGCUAAUGCAUUGCCUGUCAAUGUGUCUGCUCCUGUUGAGAAUAGAUAAAAAGUGAAGGUAGGGGAAAUUCUUGACGAAUUUUGUUUAAUUUCUGCCUUGUCAUUUUUGACUGUAAAUGAAUUCAUUUCUUUAUUACCAUUGCUUUCACAUUAGUACCUACUACCUGUGUGUAUCUCUCGUUGACAUUGUGACCAUUACAAAUCGUCAUGAAUGUAUAUCUAUUUUUCUGAGCAGUGCGAGCAAGCAUCUGCAUCGUAAUUGUACUUUUAUCCCUUUUCACUGUAGUAGGGAAUACUGAGCUUUCCUGAAUAAUGGGCUCAGUAUUGACCUUGUAUUUUGCACGUCACAAUAUCUUUGAAUGUCGGAUGUUGAGGCUUUGUCACAGCUGCAUUGCCUCUAUUUCUUGAAAGUGCUGCGUUGGUGGUAGUGCUUUAACCCAUUGGCUUCCGCGCACUGCGCGCCCGGUGCUGCCUACCACUCCGCGGCAAAUGUUUCGCGCUAGCGGGCGGCAUGGGGCGGUGUAUAAAAAUCGCAAUAAAGUCCGCAAGAAACGUCAUAGAACCACAAUUCUUGCUUUAUUCUGUUUGCAAUGCUUUGCUGCAGCAACUCGGUCAGUAUGAUUUGCGUGUGUGAAAUUCUUUAAAACACACAGGCAUGUGAAGCGCAACUUCGCAUUUUUCGCACUCCCACCGGCUCUCGGACUUUUUGCCAUGUGACUUGCAAACUAAGCAAAGCCUGGAUGGAUUUUUUUUUAGCUUUGUUCGGAAGGAUCCGACAAGGAAAAUGAGCCCACUCGGAAGCUUGCAGGCGCAUUGGUGUAGCCGCGACAGGUGGGUUUCUUUGGCCGCGGUAAAGGGGCAGAGUGACCUCUUCGAAAAUCGCCUCGGCGAGAUUGACCUUCCAAUCGGUGUAGUGGAGCCGCUUGCCGGUAGUUUUUCCAAAUAAAACAUAGCUGUUAUAGACAGCAAUGUCCAUGAUGUAAAAGAAAAUUUUCUUGUAGCCUUUUGCGUAUCUUCUCAUAAUGGGAAAAGAAGCAAGUUGUUGGUCCUCGCGAUCAACUCCUCCCAUUCCUCGGUUGUAGUCUAAUACAACUUGCGGUUUCAAAACUGGCAGGCCGUUCCCGCGACCCUUCUUGCCGGAAUCCAUUCACAUUUGCUCCACUGUGCACGGUUGACAGCAUAGUGACCUGCUUUUUAUCUUGCCAUGUUAGAGCCAUGAUCCCUCUCGCAAAGAGAACUUUGCAUUCACCUUUUUUUAACUUGAGCUGCUUGAAGCCUUUUGGCAUAUUCUUGCGGUGUAGACGAACUGUACCAACUGCAUUCGAACCCGCAUCUUUGAGGUGACGAAAAAGUGUAGGCGAAGAGUACCAGUUGUCCAUAAAUAUUGUGUGGCCGUCAGGAAGGCGUUUUCCAACAAGGUCAAGAACAACGGACUCACUGCACAAUAGCCCAUCUGUUGCUGGCGUCUUCUCACUUUUUCGAGUAUAAAUUGAAAAAUUGAGGCAGUAGCCACUAGAUGACUCGCAGAGUUUGUAGAAUUUCACUCCAAAUCUUGCUCGUUUUGAGGGGUUGAAUUGUAUGUAGGACAGGCGACUGCGGAACUUCAUCAGACUUUCGUCCACCGCAACACUUGCUUCGGGAUUAUACGCUGCGCCAAUGGACUUGAGUAUGAUAUCGAGGACAGGCCGUAUAUUCCAGAGCCGGUCUUCACUUUGGGGAAGGCUGUUGCAGAAAUGCAGGUACCGCGACAGCACCCAAAAACGAUGUCUUGACAUCACAGUGGCAAAAAAUGGUGUGCUGAUAACAGACCUCGUCGACCAGUAGGACUGAAUGCUACUCUUCUUUACUUGGCUCAUCAGCACACACGAGGCGAAGUAGGCUUUCAUUUCGUCGGCAGUUGUUUCAUGCCAUGAGGAGUCAGGAUGCAAAAGCUGCCUUUCGCGUGCGAAGGCGUUUGUGUGCAACGCGAUGAUGCUCCAAAUCGCCACUCCAGGAACAGCAUUGAACAUUCCAAGAGCAGUGGGACUUCCACCUACUUGAAGCUCGAUGGAUCUCUUGAUGCCAGGCUGGCCGCUGAAGGAGUGCUUGACAAUAUUUUCCACACUGUCAUCUUCUUCCCAUUGCCAUUCUUCCAUCUUUCGCGCCUUUGGAGAAGGCGGCAAAGGAUCCAGCGGAUCUUCUGCUGCACACACGUUCUUCUCCUCCUCCACAUCACUACUACUUUCAUCACUUUGAUCCUCCCCAUCGUCUAAUGAAACAUCUUCAUCAUCACAAAUGUCACUUUCGGCGUCACUGUCAAACACAAGUUGCAGAAUUUCGUCUUCUGUCAAACCACGCUUUCGCCGCGAUGCCAUGUUUUGAACAAGACCAGUCGCAAUCGCCUCGCUCACUUCGCACACAAAAUAGCUCCAAACGCGCACAAAAAUAACUCCAACAGUGGACAACUAUGUCCAUUAUGUCCAUCUAGCGGAGAACAUAUCAAACACAAGGCAAACACCAACCAAUGUGCUGCCAUCCAUGAAAGAUCAUGAAAAACAAUAAUUUUCUAAGUGGCCGGCGUUUCGCCGGUCAAAGAACUUUUGGCCUCGGCCGUAGGGGCCGGCGGAUCGUCGGCCACGGAAGUCAAUGGGUUAACAUGCAAAUGCAACAACUCUUGUGUUGCACACAGCAUAUCUUCACUGUCCAAAACUUGACCCAAGGGUUUGCAGGGCUCCAAGCAUUAAAUAUGCCGGUUAUGUUGGUGGUGUUUGCACGCUAUGGAAAUCUUAAUAUGGGGAGGAUUUCAUUGUUGAGGGUCUGGUAUAAAUAGUUCGAGAGGCCAAAAGCGGGAUAAAUUACAUGGUAGCUGGUUGCACUAGCUCUCAAGUGCGUCCAGACAGAGGUGACAUUCUUGUCCGACGCAUGCUGCUUGGCAGCUAUCUUGGUUGGCAAAUGCGAUCAAGCUCGCCCAACACAGAUUGUAAACUGGCAUCUUUAGUGGGAAAACUACAUUUUUCUACAUCUCAUUCUUGCUAACUAUAUUCACAAGCAAGCAGGAUAUGACAUUAAAUGUGCAGGGUAGAAUGAAGUACAGCCGCCCCACAAUGAACAUUUCCGUAGAGUUGACUUGUGAGGAGCUAACACAUGUGACGUGAAAAGCUAGCAUGGGCACACAGCUCAAUAAAGAGGAGGACACUGUGUGUCUGCAUUGACAGCACUCUGCAGUUACAGCCUCGUUUGCUGAAUAUAGCAGGGUGGCGUGGUUAUCUGGAAACGUGAUUAUAGAAAGCUUCUGACAUCAACAUCCUUGAAGACAGCAGACAGCAAAGGUGCAGAAACUUAAGCACAAGCAGCAAAACACUUUGGCCUGAGAAACUAAUUAUGCCAGACUGUUCCUGUGAAUGCAACAAUGAAUGAAAUAUUCGAUUGAAAAGUAUUUGUAAUUGAAAGUUUGGGUAAGAAUGGCUGCCACGGGCUGUUGCGCUCUUGUCGGAUACGGGGGUUGGGAUUGUUGGGUAGUUGUGAUGUUGGGAUCCUUUGCUGGGAUUUCGAAAGAGCACUUCUCUGCUGACUUGUGCUGUGGUUGUGCCCCCUGUCAUGCCUGCAGGCGCUGAGCUGUGAGGGUGUUGGUAAGGCGGUGCUUGAUCGUAUGCUGCGUUGCUGCUGCUGCCGUGACUGGUUGCAGCCUGUGCCGGGUUCGGGCGGAGAUGUGCUGUCGGGCUGCACGUCGUGUUUGCGAUCAUUCCGGGUUUUUUCCUCCUUUUAUUUAUUUAUUAUUUUUUUGUCGCUCUUUUUCACCUUCUUUCCUCACCUGCAGGCACCACACCCUGCCCCCAAUUCCUUGUUUCCCCAUUUAUGCUCCUCCUCCGGCCACUUGUUCAAAAAUCGGCUUGCUUGGCUACGACAAGACUAUGUAGGCAUAGGGGAGCACUGAACAAGUUGUGAAGUAGCGCUGCUUUCAACCUAUCAAACUCUCCAAUAUCGUGCAACUUGCGUGCAAAAUUUGGCUGCUGCGUUUCGUUAAAUAUCCUUAGUCUCACUUUCAGAGUGCUAUGGUUGCUCUUGGAAGUAUAGUUGCACUUGACGAGUUGCAGAGCUGUAUUCCUUUGAUACAGAUCUGAUUGGCUGGUAAUAUUGAGUAAGAUGAGCUAAUAUUGUGUUAGGUCUUAAAUUUGUAGUUAAAAAGCACUUGUAUAAAAUUUUGGAUGAAAAUGGCAGCAUCUUAAAAUAAUUACAAGUACGAACUACAAAAAAUGACAGUUUAUUGAAGGGGACGGCGAACUUUAAAAGCAGUGUUCCGUUUAGCCUUCUUAAUCGUUAAAUCCCAGUUUUCCUGAUUAAGAUUUGCUAGCGAUAAGUGAGGUUACACACACGUUUUCUGGCCUUGAAUCAUUCAAGCCGUAGCCAACAGGGAGGGGCGAGGUUAUGGUGCCGCUUUUUUUUUUUUUUUCUGCGGUGGAUGGGAGGCGUUCCAGUUUGCGGCCGGCAGAAGGCGGCAUUUGCAGACCGUCGGUGCGGACGGAGCGGCCCGCGGUUGCUGUCCAGCCGGCGCGGGGCUUGCUGUGAUGCUGUGUGGGAGUGCCUGCUGCGUCGGGAGUUGCAGCUGCGGGGUUGCCUGCUGUGCAGUUCGUGCGAGUGUCUUGGGAUGCAGGCCCGGUUUUGGUUUGUUCCAUUCUCUUCUCAGUGAAGUGUGCGAUUUCUCUUCAGGACACUACAAGGGCAGUGCUUCAGAAGGCUGUUUCAGCAAUGUGCUUCUCAUGUGGCACCACACGAGGCAUCUGCAGUGGUAGCAGUUUGUGCCAGUGGUUCUUGGUGUUCAAUAAAGCCUUGCUGAACCAAA
rnacentral:misc_RNA from 1 species